GCCCCCGGGGGUCGGGGGGGCCAGCGGGAGGGCACGGCGCCGCCGCCUCUCUCCGCAGUCUGGAAAAAACACGUCACUGCUUUUGUUCUCAUCGGAAAAGCAGGGCUUGGCCGCAACGGGAACGCUUCAGAGGAAGUGUCUGGUUUCUUCGUGUUUUGGUUUGGUUUUUUUUUUUUUUUUUUUUUUUUUUACCUUCUUAGGUGUUUAUUUUCAAAACAGAAAACCCCAGGUCACUCGAGGCAUAAAACCAUUAUCCGUAACAAGAAAAAAAAGUUUCCACUGCCUGUCCCAGAAGAACAUUUUUUGCGCGUGUGUCAAGAAGCAGAGCUCUGUCUGAAAACGUUUUAUUGAUGUUGGCCAAAGAGGCUUGACCUUUUUUUUUCCCCUUAUUUCAGCAAACAGUUUAAAUUUUCAGCACAAAUACAUUUCCCCCGUGGCUUCACUAUUCAGCUUGUUUUCCCUAUGUUUAGGAAAAAGUAUUUGGUGUGCCAGGGGGCUGUGCCAGGCAAGGUCGUGGCUGUGGAGGCUUCACUGGCUCCUUUCGAGCUGGGCCUCACUGUGAGUCACCCAUAAUAUAAACUGCAGCCACUUCAAAUGCAUCCUCAGUUUUUAAACACAUACUUUUGCCUGCUGGAGUGUUGCUAAUUACAAUAAUUUAUGAGACGAGGGCUGUGUUUGGAAUGCAUUUGGCAGCAAUGAUGGGAUUAGUGCAAGAUAUCUUCCAUCUAGCUGGAGUCAUGCUGUAGUUUUAAACCAACAGUUUUAGAGGUGUUUCCCCAUUUAGUGAUCCCAGUUUUUUAUGUAUACACAUUUGGCAGUAUGGUCACAAGAAUCCAAAUGGGUUCUUGGAGGGAAGAAAGGAAAACAUGAGUCUUCAAGUAGAAGAUUUAGUAUUACACACUGCAGGGAACUGGGGAUGAGCUGCUCAUUCUCUGGUGGCUGAGGACAAGACAGCUUGCAGCAGUGGAUAUACUGGUGUGUUGAGAUUUUCGCUAUUGCUUGGCGACAGCUGAAAUAAAAAUAAUGAGUCAGAGUCUGAAGACGAACAGAUGGUAAAGUGUUUUCCCCUUCCUGGCCUGAACUGAGGUGGCUUGAAGAGGACUGGGGGCUGGAAGGUGGAUCCGAGCUGCAGCACAGGACAUCAUCCGAAUGAGCGGGUUGUAUCCAGUGAGUGGGCUCCAAGGGGCCACUCAGUCACGGAGAUGGCCCCAUGUGUCUGCAGGAAGCCAGCGCGUCCCUGCGUGUGGGGGUGGCACGUACAAAUGCACACCAGCCUUGGCCCCGCUACCGGCGCCUCCCGCUCCUGUCUUGCAAAUAAAUCUGUUGUUUGGCCCCAUCCGGUGACUGUUUCCGCUGCUCUCUGGCAGUCUCCUGCUGCUGCUCCUGUGCUCAGAGCCUGGGGUAGGCGCCUGGCAGGGACUGCUGGCCCCUCUCCUUGCGGCUGUAGGGAAGUGGCAGGCAAUUCCCCAGCAGCCACACAGAUCCUAUAAGCCAGACAGAGCAAUAAGAAGCGUUUUCACCAUCUCCUGCAUCUGGAAGGAGUAUGGAGGUUAGUCAGAUGUGGCCACAUGCAGCUCAUGCUGGAGGGCCUAAGGGGAGGUGGGGAGGGAAAGGAUUAUUUUACUGCAGGCAAAAAGGAAAAGCAGAGUCAUGACCACCACAUCCUUCUCUGCUGGGAGAAGGCACUCACACCAAGCCAGACUGGUACAGGCUGAAGGAAAUAAUAGAGUUGCCCUCUCCCAUUUGCCAGAAGGAAAUCCUACAAAUGGCCUUGAAAUCCCCUGUAGGGCACUUCUAGAAUUCAGUGCUUCACACCACCUCUCUUCUACAACAAGCUCCGCUUACCUGUUUUACUUUGCAUGCUCAUUUGGUCCUGGCUCACCUGAAAGCACGUUUGAUUUAUUCCAGUGCUGUUUACCCAUGUCGGUCCUAUUUCCCCUUAAGGUAACUACAUAAAAUUAGUUCCUGUGGAGUGAGUUUUAAUGCAAGCGGCCUAUGAAGGUCUUUAUCAACUUGAUUCUUCACAAUAACAGUGGUAUUGUCAGCCUAUAGAGGACCUGCAGGGAGACCCUGCAACCCCUUUUUGUUAGAGAUAUUGCAUGUGUGGGAGGGAACUGAAGAACUUUACGAGCAAAAUUAAUACUCUCUGCAAUUACUUGAAUUUUUAAAAGGAAACAAACAGUUGGGGGUGUCUGUUCAUUUUGAUUUAGCUAAAGAAUAUUUGUACUAAAAAAAUCCUUCUCCUAAUCUGGCUGCUUUUUUCUUUUUCCUGUCAUUGCCCCAGCAUGCCUGAUACCAACAGCAGUGAUGAAGGGCUGAAAGGGGUCGAGGGAACCAGCUGAGGGCCUUGAAUUUUACAUUAACAAAAAACUCACAGAACCCUAAAGCUCCCCAGAUCUCUUGUUCGAACAAGACCUAGUGGAGUUUCAUUAACCAACACAACUUUGCAGCCAGCGCCAAGCCUUGCAUUUAACAGCACUAGUCCUUGCUGGAGGAAAUCUCAGCAGUUUACUCACAGCCGGCAGACAGGGUGUUGUGUGCAUGCUGUCUCACCUGACCUAACACCACCACCUCUCCGGUACUCAACAAAGCUGUGUUCUGACAUGAGGGAACACCCUCACAAAGCAGGGCCAAGAAACACCUUUUUUAAAAAAGAGGUGUGAUUAAUUAGAAAUGUUACUUGCAACCAUUGGCACUUGAGAUGGGCCAUCUAAAUCCAGUGAGAAACACCAGGCCGUCCGCAGCAUACCUGGUUGCACGAUUUAUGUACCCUCUAAUGUGUCUGCAAGUGUGAAAACAACUUGGGUUUCAGUUAUGCAGCAGUUUUAGCAGCUGGGAGGUGUUGUCUGUUUGCUCCAGGUCCCUGGGUACUACAGUGAAAGCAUCAGGCUGCCAGAGUCAGACGAGCUGCCAGAGGUUGGCUGAAGAAGUUACAUCACACACUUCUGUGUCCUCCUGCUUGGGUUAUGCCCUGUGCAAGGAAAUGUGAUGCUCUCCAGGCUGAAACUGAGUGGUCAGAUAACAAUAUGCAGCCUCUGUCUAGUUCAGGUGCACAGUACAUAUGGGAGGUGAGAUUUGUAGUCUGUGUCUUUACCACUUAAUCAAGAGCUGGUCAAGUAGUUAAGUGUUUUCCUUUCCCCUUCAGCACCCACUGGUGACAGAUGUUUCCUCCCUGGGGGCUGUAUUUCCACUCUUGUGGACUCUCUGGUGCAGCCACAGUUUGCAGCCCUACCACAGCCCUUACAGUGAAACAGUUUGUUGAAAUAGUCACCUUUUUUUCAGAACAGUUUUGUUUGUUGUCAGCUGCUUUGCCUUAGGGCUGAAACUCCCUCCUCUCCCCUAACUGGAAGGGCCACACUGCCGUGCCCAGCACAGGAAAAGGGGUUAAGAGCAGGAAUGUGAGCACAGCACAUCCUUCAUCACGGAGCCCAGCAAGCAGAGCUGGCAGGCAGAGGGAGGGUGCAGCCAGAUCCAGCAGUGUGGGUGCUUUCUUCUACAGAAACCUCCACCAUAAACAGCUCUGGCAUGGGAGAGCUGGCUGGUUUUAUAUCCUCCUGUGAGAAUAUUGCAAAUCUUAGUUAGAGCUUAGACAAUCUCUGAUUACAGAAUGCAAUAAGCAAUUUAUACAUGUUAGUGGCAGCUGCCUUAGUAGGAAACCAUUAGGCACAUUCCUGUUUAAAAAAACAAACAGUCCAGAAGAGGCUUACGAAACACAGCUCGCCAAAGCAAAAACUACCUUCAAAACUUUUAGUUAGAAACACUCUAGGAGGCUUUAAUAAGAAAGAAAAAACAGUUUAGGAGGGAGGAGGAAAAGCAUUCCACUGGAAAAAAUCCCAGCUUGGUCUA